GUUUACUGCAAUAUCAUUUCUUCUGACCUAUCUGCUCGCCACAGACUUAUGAUGAAUAGCCGAAGCCGCUCAAGUCCUUCAUCACGAGAGGAUCCGCUUGAUACAACAUUGAUUCUUUAGCCUGUAACUAACUUGACACACAGAAACCAAAACGCCACUUCGCCACCGUUAACAAUAUCAAUAUCAAUAUCAUCCUUUAGAGAGAUUUGACCAUCUAUAUUUGGGCUGUGAUGAUGGAACCAGGCAAAUUACAAGAUAAAGGAAAAUCUUCAGUAAUUCAAUAUGAAAUCCGCUCAAAUUAGUAAUUCUAUAGUUUAACGUAAAAAUGUGAUGUAGUUUUGUAAGUUAUUGCAUAAAAUGGUUAGAGUUUCAUCUAGUCAUAUUCGAAAGAGAGAGUUUAAAUAGCGUUUGUAAUUGCAGGAAUGCUUGUAAUAAGCUGUGAAGCUGAGAGAGGCGCGGAACGGGGAGGGUCUGAUCUGAGUUCAGCUGCACGAACUGAAGGCGAUACUGGUGUUUAUUGUGUCCGCUGAUUCUGCAGCGAUGGAUGAGAUCAGAUCAGGAGUCAGACUGAAGGAAAAGCCGCCACGAGAUUCACAGCGACACUUUACAGACUUGACUUUGACUUCAUAUCCACCCAUGAUUAUACAAAAGGCAACUAGCAUGUGCCCUUGACAGGGACAGCUAUGGAGAAGACUGCCUUUAGCCCCUCCAGUGGCCACUGGCAAUACUGGGUCUUCCCCUUCACCCCCCACUAAGACCCAGACCUAACCAAGAAAGGGCAUUCAGAAAAGAUCAAGUGAAACUCCGAGGCACAAGCAUCAUUCAGGACCCUGAAGCGCACCCUCAUCACCAAGUGAUACUCCACACUCCCUAUUUCUCUUGAGCUUCCACCCUCCAAACAGAUGCAUCAAAAUCUGUGUGGCAAGAGGGUGUGGUAAAGCAGAGUCAGCAACAGGAGAGUGGGUCUAGAGACAAGUGGUAAGAAAGUAGGUCAAGUGCUUGAUGACUAACAUCUGUUAGUUCACUUUGACUAACUGUAUGCCAGAAGGCAGGUAGUGUGUUUUGCUGAGCAUGUUAUUUUGAUUUGGAUUAAGAUUUUGGAUUGAUUUUGGAUUUAAGAUUCUCUUAAUUUACUCUUGCCGCUCCUUCUCCACGACAACAAACCUUGUCACAAUGGUGCCGUUCCCCCUGGAGGAACAGUUAAUGACUGCCAUGCAGUCCCCACCAGGAACAACGCUUGCGGAGCUGGUCAAGUUAUUCACCGGUCUCCAUCAGACACAAUAUCAGGUGCUCUAGGAUUUUAGGCUAGAGUAGGAGGAGGAAGACCGUUGGUUGUUCUGGAGUUUGGUUGGUCAGGAGUCCCAGCCCUAAGAUGCAGACAGAUUGCCAGAUUGGCUAGUGAACCUCAUCCCAAUGCUGUCCGGGGAAUCCCAGGUAACAGUCCAACUGCUACCCAUCCAGAACCUCCUGACCUAUUACAAUCUCAAGCAGGCCAUCUUGCAGAGGUUUGGUCACCCCCAAGCAGCAUCAUCAGCAUUUCAUCCAGUCUGUCAAGCUAGGGGAUAGCAGCCGGCCUUUCGUGAUGUCCCAGUAGCUCCGGGAUGCCUGCUGUGUGGCUGAUGACAGAGGGCCGUUGUGGGAAUUAUCGACCUCGUGAUGAACGGCAUUGCUCAGGUUCCAAGAAAGUGUGUUCAGUGCCAGCGCCUCACGUUGCUGAACUAGUCCGGAUCAUCUGGUGGCGUGUCCAGGGCCCAGCGAGCCUCUUCCCUCUGUCUCUCUCUCCACUCAUCUCCCUUCUUCUUCCUCUUUCAUGAGUUGGUGAGAUGCUUGUUCAGUUAGGUGUGGGUCUUUUUUAUUCAACACUGGAUUUGACAAAGGGAUAUUGGCAGAUCCCCUUGUCACCUUUAUCUAAAGAACCGUCUUCACUCAGCCCUGUUUGGGCUUUUCACAACCUGUCCUGAGAUCAUUAAGCGGGGCUGGGCUAACGAACCUGAAGAAAUGUACAAUUGGGUGAGGGAUAGUAUGGUUGUCAUGGAGUCACAACCAUCACAGACACCCAUUUGCCCAUCAUCACUAGAUCCACCCACUCGUUCACUCUCCCCUGGAUGCUAAUUCACCACACCUGCACCUCCUCAUUAACUCGCCACAUAAAUGCCCUCAUUAAAAAUGCCCUGCGCUCAGCUGUCUGGUCUCGUCAACACUCCUUACCUGAUACCCACCAUUGUACUUACCUGCCGCCAAGAUCCCUCUCUUCAGUCAUCUGUCUUCAGUCGUCUGCUCCCAGCCCUUCGUGUGCCCGUCCAGCCUGUCUGGGUUUCUCCUGCCGAGAGAUAUACAAGUUACUCGUCAGCUAAGUCACCCUGGAAAUCUCUCAAACUGCUAUACUCACCAUUGCUGCUUUGUGUUUUUAUCCAACCUGUGAAAUAAACUCUGUUUAUAUUCUA